UACGUAGGGGGCUAGCGUUGUCCGGAAUCAUUGGGCGUAAAGAGCGUGUAGGCGGCUCGGUAAGUCCGCUGUAAAAGUCAAAGGCUCAACCUUUGAAUGUCAGUGGAUACUGCCGGGCUAGAGUCCGGAAGAGGCGAGUGGAACUCCUGGUGUAGCGGUGGAAUGCGCAGAUAUCAGGAGGAACACCGGUGGCGAAGGCGGGUCUCUGGGCAGUAACUGACGCUGAGGAGCGAAAGCGUGGGGGAGCGAACAGG
rnacentral:rRNA from 1 species